UACGUAGGGGGCUAGCGUUGUCCGGAAUCAUUGGGCGUAAAGAGCGUGUAGGCGGCUCGAUAAGUCCGCUGUGAAAGUCCAGGGCUCAACCCUGGGAUGCCGGUGGAUACUGUCGGGCUCGAGUCCGGAAGAGGCGAGUGGAAUUCCUGGUGUAGCGGUGAAAUGCGCAGAUAUCAGGAGGAACACCGAUUGCGAAGGCAGCUCGCUGGGACGUAACUGACGCUGAGACGCGAAAGCGUGGGGAGCAAACAGG
rnacentral:rRNA from 1 species